rnacentral:rRNA from 1 species
GAUGAACGCUGGCGGCGUGCCUAAUACAUGCAAGUCGAGCGAACAGAUGAGGAGCUUGCUCCUCUGACGUUAGCGGCGGACGGGUGAGUAACACGUGGAUAACCUACCUAUAAGACUGGGAUAACUACGGGAAACCGGAGCUAAUACCGGAUAAUAUAUUGAACCGCAUGGUUCAAUAGUGAAAGACGGUUUUGCUGUCACUUAUAGAUGGAUCCGCGCCGCAUUAGCUAGUUGGUAAGGUAACGGCUUACCAAGGCAACGAUGCGUAGCCGACCUGAGAGGGUGAUCGGCCACACUGGAACUGAGACACGGUCCAGACUCCUACGGGAGGCAGCAGUAGGGAAUCUUCCGCAAUGGGCGAAAGCCUGACGGAGCAACGCCGCGUGAGUGAUGAAGGUCUUCGGAUCGUAAAACUCUGUUAUUAGGGAAGAACAAAUGUGUAAGUAACUAUGCACGUCUUGACGGUACCUAAUCAGAAAGCCACAGCUAACUACGUG